GCCUGGAUGGCUCAGUCGGUUAAGCGUCUGACUUCAGCUCAGGUCACGAUCUCGCGGUCCGUGGGUUCGAGCCCCACGUUGGGCU
rnacentral:tRNA from 1 species